rnacentral:rRNA from 1 species
CAAUAGCGUAUAUUAAAGUUGUUGCAGUUAAAAGCUCGUAGUUGGAUUUCUGCUGAGGACGACCGGUCCGCCCUCUGGGUGAGUAUCUGGCUCGGCCUGGGCAUCUUCUUGAAGAACGUAACUGCACUUGACUGUGUGGUGCGGUAUUCAGGACUUUUACUUUGAGGAAAUUAGAGUGUUUCAAGCAGGCAUACGCCUUGAAUACAUUAGCAUGGAAUAAUAAGAUAGGACCUUAGUUCUAUUUUGUUGGUUUCUAGAGCUUAGGUAAUGAUUAAUAGGGAUAGUUGGGGGCAUUCGUAUUUAACUGUCAGAGGUGAAAUUCUUGGAUUUGUUAAAGAUGGACUACUGCGAAAGCAUUUGCCAAGGAUGUUUUCAUUGAUCAAGAACGAAAGUUAGGGGAUCGAAGAUGAUCAGAUACCAU